rnacentral:rRNA from 1 species
AUUGAACGCUGGCGGAAUGCUUUACACAUGCAAGUCGAACGGCAGCACGGACUUCGGUCUGGUGGCGAGUGGCGAACGGGUGAGUAAUACAUCGGAACGUGCCCAAUCGUGGGGGAUAACGUAGCGAAAGCUACGCUAAUACCGCAUACGAUCUAAGGAUGAAAGCGGGGGAUCGCAAGACCUCGCGCGAUUGGAGCGGCCGAUGGCAGAUUAGGUAGUUGGUAGGGUAAAGGCCUACCAAGCCGACGAUCUGUAGCUGGUCUGAGAGGAUGAUCAGCCGCACUGGGACUGAGACACGGCCCAGACGCCUACGGGAGGCAGCAGUGGGGAAUUUUGGACAAUGGACGCAAGUCUGAUCCAGCCAUUCCGCGUGCAGGAUGAAGUCCCGCGGGUUGUAAACUGCUUUUGUACAGAACGAAAAGGCUCUGGUUAAUACCUAGGGCUCAUGACGGUACUGUAAGAAUAAGCACCGGCUAACUACGUGCCAGCAGCCGCAGUAA